GACAGAGGUCUCAAGCGUUGUUCGGAUUCAUUGGGCGUAAAGGGUGCGUAGGUGGCGUCGUAAGUCGGGUGUGAAAUUUCGGAGCUUAACUCCGAAACUGCAUUCGAUACUGCGGUGCUUGAGGACUGGAGAGGAGACUGGAAUUUACGGUGUAGCAGUGAAAUGCGUAGAGAUCGUAAGGAAGACCAGUGGCGAAGGCGGGUCUCUGGACAGUUCCUGACACUGAGGCACGAAGGCCAGGGGAGCAAACGGG
rnacentral:rRNA from 1 species